AUUGAACGCUGGCGGCAUGCCUAACACAUGCAAGUCGAACGGCAGCACGGUCCAGUUUACUGGAUGGGUGGCGAGUGGCGGACGGGUGAGUAACGCGUAGGAAUAUGCCUUGAAGAGGGGGAUAACUUGGGGAAACUCAAGCUAAUACCGCAUAAUCUCUUAGGAGGAAAGCUGGGGACCUUCGGGCCUGGCGCUUUAAGAUUAGCCUGCGUACGAUUAGCUAGGUGGUGGGGUAAGGGCCUACCAAGGCGACGAUCGUUAGCUGGUCUGAGGGGAUGGCCAGGCAAACUGGAACUGAGACACGGUCCAGACUCCUACAGGAGGCAGCAGUGGGGAAUAUUGGACAAUGGGGGGAACCCUGAUCCAGCAAUGCCGCGUGUGUGAAGAAGGCCUGAGGGUUGUAAAGCACUUUCAGUGGGGAGGAGGGUUGACAGGUUAAGAGCUAGUUAGUUGGACGUUACCCACAGAAGAAGCACCGGCUAACUCCGUGCCAGCCGCCGCAGUAA
rnacentral:rRNA from 1 species